GCUGCCCACUGUGCUCUGCUUCCCCAUGGCUCCUGCCACCACAGGGAGUGCCGGGCGGGGUGUGACCACUACCGCUAUGCAGCACCAGACCCUCCCUGGUGAUCUCCAAAGCUGGGUGAUGGCGGUCUGGGGUACUGUGGGGCAGAGGGCAGGGCAAUGGCAGGAAGGAAUGGGGCUUUGGGGCUGAUAACGAACAGGCUCCUCAGGCCUGCCGGGAGUCCCGGGCUGGUUUGUGCAUUCACUCCCGCCAAGACUGACCCAUGGGCUGGGAAUUUGAAACCAGUGAUCUAAAGGCUGCAACUGAGAUUGGGAUCCCCUUUGUGCUAGGUGCUUUACAAGAAAUUAGUAAGCAUCUGUGGUCCAAGGAUCUUACUGUGAAGGACCAGGGACUUCUCAGUAAUAAUAGAUGAAUUAUUGACUUCCUUAGUGCUAGCCCAGUUAAGCAGAUUGAUCUUUUGGGUCCUAGCAUUGGUAAGCAAUGCACAGUAAAAAUGUAAGGCUCUGAGCCCAGAUGAGGCGCUUGUCAGGGAGCUGUGUGUGGAGAACAAACAAAAAAUAUCUCCUUGGGGUUCUGAAAGAGUUAUGCCUUCCUAAGCACCCAGGGGAUCAUAAAGCUUUUAGGUAAAAGAGACACAUGCAUGUUACUCUGCUAUUAUUUAAACUCUCAUUUUAUGUUACCUUUGUUCCUACUGUUCAGAUCAGACAACACUUUGGUUUUAAAAAAUGCUAUUUUUUCACAAGCUCCUGAAGGGAAGACCCGUACGAGCCAAUCCCAGUCAGAUCUGUUGGGAGUAAGCAGUAUCAGAAUCAUGGGAUUCCAGCUUAGGAAAGGUAAAGGCCCGAGACCUAAGACGUGUGUGUGUGGGGGGAGGAGUACUCAGAGACCAGAGAAGGGGUGUGAGGUGCAGGUGGUCCUGCAUCCGUGGCACUUAGAAUCUAAAAAGAUGAAAUGACAGAUAAAGGGGAAAACAGAGGCACAGAGUUGAAGUGACUUGCUCAAGGUUACGCUGCAGGUCAGUGGCAGGGCACUCAAUAGAACUCUGGUUUCCUGAGUUCCAGUCCCAUGCCCUACCCACUGGACCAUGCUGCCUCUGGUUUUCUUUCUCUGUUUUUGCAUCACAUUGUUCUGGUCACUCAUAAUUAGUUGCUUAAACAUAGUGUGGUAAUCAUACCACAUCAUAAUGUUAAUACAUCACAAACAGGUGAAGUCAGAGCCAAUAAAAAUAAGCCCAGCAAACAGUAGCUAGGGUCUGAAGGAAAACAGCAGGUGACAAAUGGAAUAGCUUGAGGAUAAAGCACAGAGGCUUCUCUGAGUUCUAGUCACUGAAUAUGCAGACGGAUCUGCUUCCAAAGCCACGGGGACAAAACCCUACAGACUGUGAUUGCCACUUCUCUCAGCUUGUCCUCCAGUAAGCUGUGUCUCUUGCAAUGUUAUGGUGACAUUUCCCAGGCCAAGAAAGGUAUUGUACGAUCUUUGCUCCUUCUGCAAGCAGUGCUGUUAGGAAGCAGUGCCACUCAGCAAAAUUAGGAGCAGCUGUUUUCUGGGUCUUCUCCUUAUGUCCUCCGAAGUCUUUGCUACCUAAAUUGCUGACAAAAUGGCAUGUUUUAUGUCAGUCCUAAGAGAGCCACAGUAUCGUAGCUGGUGUUCAAAUUGUGGUACCCUCCCCUGAUGCUCCUCAUUCUGGAUCUGCAGCAUGUCCUUUAUCCAAAUGCUGGGACACCUUUGCAAAGGAACCUCAUGUUUUUCUGUGUCACCCUCACCUGUUCCAGUCCUGGAACCUCACACCAUUCUCCCAAUGUACCUCGACCCUGACCUGAUGCUCAUGACCUGAGACUCCAAACACACAGUAAGCUUUGCUGGUGCCCUUUCAGUGUGGUUAUUCUUCCAGUCACAGGGGAGAUAUGGAAGGAGUGGUACUGUGGGGCUGUCGCUUGCCAGGGAGGAAGAAAUGUUUGUUUAAUGGCCAUGCUAGAAGUCAGUGAAAGAUGGAGUGUUGAUCGAAUUCUGAAAGUCCAGUGUUUUUCAAAUACAACAGGCCACUUCAUGUGUAGUUAAAGCAACUAAAAGUCGGGUGAUCUUGGGACCUUCAGAAGGAGUGAAGUGGACCCCCAGGAGACAGAAGAUCCUACCCAGGUGUGAACUAUCAGCAUGAUGUGCUGAGAGUCAGCUCCAGCACUCUGAGACUUCUGCCAUAGCUCCCUCAGAAUGGUCACUCUUCCAAGUGGGCCAACCUAAGUGAGACCAGAGGCAAAUUGGGCUGACCUCUUCAGGGAUCACAUCCACCUUGUUGGACUUUUCCAAGAGACCUGAAUCGAAGGCUCAGUUUUGUUUUGUCAGUUUGGCAUGAGAAUGCCUUUCCUUGCUCCUGGCAGGCACUGCACCUGCCCUUUGUAUUCUCUCCACAGCAAAGAGGUUGCCAAGCUCUGGGAGGCUAAGUGGGUGAACAGUGAUGCAGGCUCAAAAUCAUUCAUACCACCAGACUGCUGAGGGAAUGAUAAUCCCUCAGGGAAAAAUUCUUCAGAAUGCAAGACCUGUGAACUCGGAUCUAAGAACAUGGCAAAACUACUCUAUUGGAGACUCGUAAGGGACAUGUUUGGUCAGAAAGAGAAACACAAUCUUUUCUGAGGAUUAUUAUGAGGAAUGUCAGGAGUCCCAGAUUGAUUAGAGAGAUUGGCAGGGAUCUGCUGCCACCAGAUACAGGAUGUACUGGACAGGACACUACACGUGAUUGGGAAAGUGUCAGCCUAGAAUGGGAAAGAGACCGACUUUAAGAGGCACAAUGUGGGUUUGAGGCCUUGCUUGUGUAUUCUCAAAAACAUGAAUACAUAUUAUUAUACAAUUUACUCUCACUUUGGUGAAAUGUCUUAAACAUUUAUACUUAGUGAUGACCUGUUUAAAAAGAAAUCUUUGAAUAAGGAACUGAGAACCAUAAGGAACUAACUUCGGCCUUGUUAAAAAUCACCUGUGCCUUUAUACAUACAAACCAGCUAGGGGAACUUUUAGCCCCCAGUUCUCCACUAGUUUGAAGAAAUGUCCCUUAAAAAACUUCACUUCAGAAGUGGGUAAGUUACCCUGAAAAAGCAUCUAAGAUACGUUUGCCACCCUCAGGCAGGGAAGUGGAAGGAGAUGAGGGUGAGGUUUAGGGAGGGAAAAUUCAUCUGGGAAAAUAUUUGGAGGACAGGGCACGGAUCAGCUGAUUUGGCCUUAAUCCACCAUAACAUGAGAGACUCUAGGAAGGAUAGCUUUGACAAGCAAGCAGACUGUGUUCUGCAUUUUUGAUCACUCAUGCACAUGACACAUUAGCACAAUCCACUUAUAUGUUGCGAAUCUUCCCUGCUCUGUUUGUCCCACAUCACCACACUUUUUGAUCAUUUCUCUACUGCUAACCUGGAUGCAGCUUGUGCAAUGGAGAGUGUCCAGCAUCAGAAUAGAAUGUCACCAUCAUAGUUGUGCUCACUCUCAGAUGUGCUCACAUGCAAAGCAGUGUUCACUGUAAGCCAGGCUCUUGGGCAACCACCCAGGAGAGAUUCAGGUGCCAUCCAGUUGAUUAGCAAAGUGCCUACAGCUGCCCACAGCCAGCAGCAUGUGUUUCUAUUGGUGGUGCACAUCUGCACAUGCCUCAGUGCACAUAUCAAAAUGUAUUCUGCACAUGGAUGGAUGGAAAAAUUAGAGGGAACAUUGAUGCAGAGUGGGCCUCAAAAGGGAAAAUGUCUAGGACUGCAUGAUUUCUGCAGAUAGCUAUGUAAAGAACCACAUCUCAUAGUUGUUAGACUAUACCAGGAUAUUGGGUUGUGUGUUGAAAAUAUUGGGUAGGAGGGACUAGAGCAAGAUAACCUUUUAGUCUUCCCAUUGCAUUAUUUGCAAGGAAAGGGGAAAGGAAGAAUUAGCUCAAUCCCACUAACUUCCUUUAACAUCUCUCUAUUCACAUGUGAGCCAGAAACCUGCUAUUUUCUCCUUGGAAUUUGGGCAUAUUCCUCUAGCAAAGUCAAACAAGCUUGAGUAAAGAUUUGAUUCCUGGGAAAGGGGUUUGGAAUGAGUGUGUUGUUGGCCCACAACAUCAGACUCUCUCUCUGUAUCUCCUCCCCAGGUCAUACUAAUGGCUGACAGCCAAAUCCCAGUUGGCAAACUAGGCAUUUGAAACCUCAAUCUUACUGCCAUAACACUAUCCUUCUUAUUGCAGUCCUAGGCCGGCUAUUCUAGUUCUGAUCAUAAAACCAGAUUUCUAUUAGGUAGCACAGUCCUUUAAACUUAGAUUGUCAGGCAUUUGCCUUGAAAGUGCCCUUGCAGGUAGAGGUUCUUGGCUUCUGUCCUGUCAGCAGAUUUUAUGAUUAACCACAGAGACAUUGCCAGGCAAGGCAAUGGGAGUUUGGUACCGUCUGUUCCCACACAUGCAGUAGGAGAGGAUGAUAUGUAAUUUUAAAAGUUAGCCCUUUUCAUUCUAUGAUUCCAUCAGCGGAUUGGUAAGGAAGCUACUAAAAGGAAAAAAAGAUAUCACAUGAUGCCCUAGUUUAGCAUUGUUCAGACAAAAUAUAGAAUCAUACAAAUUUAGGCCCCAA